rnacentral:rRNA from 1 species
GACGAACGCUGGCGGCGUGCUUAACACAUGCAAGUCGAACGGAAAGGCCUGCUUUCCCUUGUGGAUUGCGGGUACUCGAGUGGCGAACGGGUGAGUAACACGUGAGUGAUCUGCCCCCAACUUGGGUAUAAGCCUGGGAAACUGGGUCUAAUUCCCGAUAGGACUGCAGGGUGGUGCCUGUGGUGGAAAACGAUUUUCUAGUGGUUGGGGAUGAGCUCGCGGCCUAUCAGCUUGUUGGUGGGGUAAUGGCCUACCAAGGCGGCGACGGGUAGCCGGCCUGAGAGGGUAGACGGACACAUUGGGAAUGAGAUACGGCACAGACUCCGACGGGAGGCAGCAGUGGGGAAUAUUGCAAAAUGGGCGGAAGCCUGAUGCAGCGACGCCGCGUGGGGGAUGACGGCCUUCGGGUUGUAAACUCCUUUCGACCGCGAGGAAGCCACCUGGUUGGAAGGGUGGUGACGGUAGUGGUAGAAGAAGCACCGGCUAACUACGUG